ensembl:lncRNA
GGGGAAAUAAGCCAACAAAAAAGUGUAUUUAAUAAGAAAGACAAAUAGUAAAACCUUUGAAGUUUGGCACACUCUUCCAGGGAUGGUAUGAUUUUGCUUGAGUGGCCCUCUUGGACUGAUCAAGGAUUGGCUCUGAAGUUUGACUGCAGCUGAGAAGUAGUGUUGAUAAAAUAAGAAUAGUUCGAAUCAUUGUCUUCUUUCUAACAAAGCACAUCUUACUUUCACAAAGGAGCUGGCAGUGAUGUACUUACUAAAGAUAAUAUGCCCCUACCCUUUGAAGAAUAUUACUUAAUUAUUUAAGUAGUAGUGACAUUGAAAGGCUCGUGAACUUUUGUCUGUCUGAGCUUUAGAACAAGACGAAGUGGGCUAGUGAAAACCAUUCCUGCCUGACUAGCGCAAACAACAGCUUUGAGCUGGGAGAAAGGUAUUAUUGGCUACUGAUCCCACAUUCUUGGACGCUUAAUCAGCAUUGUCACGGGUCAAAAAAGUCAGGAUGUUUGGGCUUUCCUCCAGUACUUGAAUAUGAGUCUCCACCUUUCUAUUUGUACUGUAACAUGAGCAAGGGACUAUUCCUGCUUCGUAUCAUUAUAGGAAGGGUGACCUCAUGCUAUGGAUUAUGCACAAUGGCCAUGAUGUCUUAUGGAACCUGAGAUAUGUUUAGUUGUUCUUGUGCCAGUAACAUGGAAUGAACAGCACCGUGAAUAUCAUUAAUGCCUUAAAGGAAAGCCAACAGCUAAGCAGACCAAUGCAGUAUGUAUAAUUGUAUGCCUACUCUACAUACACCCUACUCUAAGAACCGUUCCUGGACAACAAACAGUCAAGCCCUUGUUUCUGUUUCCACAUAGCGAUAAGUAUAUGGAUCUCUGACCUCUCUAACCAGUAAUAUGUUUCUCCAUCAUUUUUGAAAUUUCACAAACCAUUUGUCAGAAGCAGCUCAGAUUCAGAAUAUUAGGAAUGGAUCUGCAAGAGAGUGAUUAGCAGGCAUUCUCUAGGCAGCUGAGUCAGUCAGGCUUGUGCAAUAAACAGUGCAAUUAUUCAUCAUUUAUCAACAACUUGUUUAAUUUACCCUCAGUGGAAAAUACAAAAAUUCCAUAUUUAAAAACAAAACAAAACCAUUGCAACAAAGGUUAUGUGCAUUUCUUCAACGUACACUGGCUUCCAUAUUCAUUUUUCUCCUUAUUUCACGUUUUACUCUUCAACUGUCUCAUUGUGUGACCCCUUUCAGCAGGGAUAGUCAAUGAUCUGGGGAGGGAUGUUUUAUAAGAGCAGGUAGGGACAGAAGGAGGGGAAAUGGCUUUAAACUGGAAGAGGGUAGAUUUAGACUAGAUGCCAGGAAGAAAUUCUUUACUGUGAGGGUGGUAAGACACUGGAACACGUUGCCCAGAGAGGGUGUGGAUGCCCCAUCCCUGGAGGUGUUCAAGGUCAGGCUGGAUGGGGCUUUGAGCAACCUGGUCUAGAGGGAGGUGUCCCUGCCUAUAGCAGGGGUUGGAACUAGAUGAUCUUAGAGGUCCCUUCCAACACAAACCAUUCUAUGAUUCUAUGAUUCUAUGAUCUAUUUUCCUGAGCUGGAAUGCGUGUGUAUGGGGGAUCUGUCAUCAGGCAUUUUUUGAGGCGAGACAGUUCAAGAGCAGAUCAUCCAAGUAAUUUUUUUUUUUAAUACAUGCUUCCAAUCCACUUCCCAGACACAGCUUAGCUCUUAAUGAACUCUCACAGAACGGCUUGGGUUGGAAGAGACCUUAAAGAUUACCCACUUGCAGCCCCCUGCCAUGGGAAAGGCUGCCACCCAACAGACCAGGCUGCCCAAGAACUCUCCUGAAGGUUUUCCUUAGUCAAAUCACAUUGAACCUGUUUUAUGCCUCAAGUUUUGUUAAUGCUCUAGUUCUUUUCUGUACUGUUUCUGGGAUGUUUGCAUACACACUCGAGUAUCAAAACUCAACAAAAAGCAGCUAAUGAUUCCUGAUUGACCGUGCAUGACCUGUGUUUUCUGUUGUUGCUUUAGCUAUUCCCCAGAGCUCUCUUUUAAAAAAAAUUGUUUUUAAAACAGAAUGGUUAUGUCUUUGAAGGUCAGUGACUUUAGCCCUCCUCCUGCUAUUACUGUGACCACUUGUACCUGCUCUUCCACUGAACUUGGUGACUUUCUAUCUCAUCUCCUGUAAACUAACAUUAGAUAGUAAUGCAUACAGGCAUGGAGUUUCCAUUUCCCUGUGAAAAAGAUGGGGGUCAGAGUUAAGGUUAUAUGUCUGAACAUAUUUUACCACAUCAUGUUAAGCCUGACAUUAGUUGAUCUGAGGCACACGGUUAGCAGCCAUGGCGGUGAUGGGCUGACGGUUGGGCUGGAUGAUCUUAGAGGUCUUUUACAAUCUUAAUGAUUCAGUGAUUAGAGCUCCAUUUUUUAAACAUGUUUCUGGACAUUACAAACCUAUAGAGAAGUCAUCAUUACCACGAGUGCUGGCUAACUGCGGAUUUCUGGAUUUUUUAGUGCUUAAUGUAGAUGUGCGUGAAAAUUAAAUUUACUGUAAGUUAAACUUCUUAUAAGACUUCAUGUGUUUUUUUCUUGAAAGUGUUGUAAUUACACGGGUAACGCUUUCAAGACUGGUUUCUAAUUUAGAGAUGCUAUAACUGCAGCUGUAGAGAACAUAUAAUUUGCUUGAAUUAUGUACCCAGGUGAAAAAAAAAAAAAAAGACAAAAAAGAGAGAAUUAUUAUUGGGAAAAAGAAAAAAAAAAACCAAACCAAAACCAACACCAUAGGCUAUAAAGGUUUGUGGGUACUAUGGAAACUUCACUAGGGAAGCCUAAGUUCCAGGCAGAUAACAAAUGGAGAAAAUGCUCGCAGUGCAAAGGAAAGUCUGACGUCAGGAAGCACAACAAUUAAUGCUACCCUGCCCUCUUGUGUUCCUGUCUGAGGCGGCUGCCUGCACCCCGCACAUCUCCCAGCUCACGUCCCUUCCUCACGCUACAAACACACUGCUAAAACCCAAUGGCACGGCACCGUGACAACACGGCGGUUGGAGGAUGGCGGGAAGCGGUAAAGCUGAAGGCCGAAGUUGGAAGGGGAUGUAUUACAUGGGAAAAGAAUCAAAAACCUGCAUACAUCUUCAAUACGUGUCAUCAGUUGCAGUGCUGUGAGGGAGGGGGGGAGGGAUGGGACUUAAGGCUUCACUUUACAACGAGACUGAAGCUGGUAACUAUGUGUGAGAGUGCUGUAAAAACAAGGGCCCGUUCUGGAGAAAGCAGAACCCAAACCUGAGCGUUUGCCAGCUCAAACCCUUCAUUUUGGCAUUACUUCGAUUCUUGUUUUCCCUCUUUUAUUCAUAGCCCCAGGGGGGAUAAGCAGGGAUGAAUCUGGCCUGACACCUGCACCUGAAAUAAAAAAAAAAGGACAGCUUUCGCUGCAAGUGAUAGCCAACAACAAUACUUCCGCAUGCAGAGGUCCAAACACAACAGAACUGGUUUAAAACCAACAAACGCUUCUUUGCGGCGUCUGACAGGAGCCAAAUCCCCACAGCAAAAAGACGGACAGCCGCACUCCGAGGGGGCAGACAACGAGCAACGAACGCGUGCGCUGCCAUGCUGACGUCACGCCCCUUCCCUCGCUGGAUGCCGGUGACGUCACGCCCCACUCCGUGACGCCACACCGCCGGGGCCGCA